UGGUAAAAAAGAUACACAAUCGAUUCCGUGUAGGUAAUCUCUGUAUACUUACACAUAAAAAUUUAGAAUUUGGUAGAAAGGUACAAAACAAAACUUUAUCUUAUCGUGAUUAUGAGCAUCUGUCCGAUAUCAGCCAUGGUUACUGCUAUCGACUAAUAUCUUAUCAUAUCAGAUAUAUAACAUUGAUCUAUCAAGGUGGCAACUUCACUAUGAAAUCUUACAAAAAUAAACUAAUGAUACGCACUUACAUUUUUCUCAGCACUGACUAUUGUUAGCUGAUAAUGAUAAUAUAGAAUAGAGUCUGAAUUUCGUGCUUCCUUCCACCUUCUCAAUGAUAGUUCAGCCAAUCACAGCGCUGCAUUCCAUACUCAAACUCUACUUAUCUUGGCGUUCUCAACUGUAAAACUGACAGUAACACUACUAACUAGUUCUUUUUUCAAAUCCCAGGAGAGGCUAUGGGAAUCCUUACCGCUGAUAAUAGCGGCGGUGCUGGGGGUGCUCGGAGGGCUGGUCGCUCUGCUGCUGCCGGAGACCAACGGCAGAGCCAUCCCGCAGACCAUCACCGACGGGGAGAACCUGGCCAACACCAGGAGGAGAAUCGGGUGUUCUAAAAAGAGAGAUGACGACACAAACUCAAAUGAAAACGGAUAUAAGACUGAUACUAGGUUCUAACUAAUACUUUAUUUAUUAAACAUUAAAAAUAUCUCCUCUGCUA